GAAUCAAAGCAGGGUAUUUCUACGUCCGCCAGCAGUCCGCCUGUACAGUGGAACGCUAUGAUGGAGUUUACUCAGUCCCUUUUACAUCUGCCAAAAAUACGUUUGGAUGAUGUGCAGCGACUUGCAGACAUAUUUUCACUUACGACACGUUCUACACUUGAUAAAGGAUACAAACUCUUCAUUGAGCAGUGCCUGUUUGAUUAUGAAGGUUACAUUUCACGCUAGAGAGGUUCCUGUGGUACUGAACGGCAUGUCAUGUACCUGUUGUGCUGGGAAAGCACUGUGCAACCACAUCGUAGCACUACUGUUUCAAAGUGCUCAUUACAGUACCAUGGGGUUCAAGACAGUGCCAUUGCCACUGUCAUGUACUAGCUCACUGCAAACAUGGCACCGUCCUAGGACACAGGGAAUUGCACCUGAGUCAACAAACUGCAUGGUAGUGUGUAAACCAGUACCAAAAUCCCAGGAUCGUGCCCGAACUGGUGUGAAAUGUACACUGUACAGAGCAU